rnacentral:rRNA from 1 species
UCUGGAAACUGUCUGACUNGAGUGCAGAAGGGGAGAGUGGAAUUCCAUGUGUAGCGGUGAAAUGCGUAGAUAUAUGGAGGAACACCAGUGGCGAAAGCGGCUCUCUGGUCUGUCACUGACGCUGAGGCUCGAAAGCGUGGGUAGCGAACAGGAUUAGAUACCCUGGUAGUCCACGCCGUAAACGAUGAGUGCUAGGUGUUAGGCCCUUUCCGGGGCUUAGUGCCGGAGCUAACGCAAUAAGCACUCCGCCUGGGGAGUACGACCGCAAGGUUGAAACUCAAAGGAAUUGACGGGGGCCCGCACAAGCGGUGGAGCAUGUGGUUUAAUUCGAAGCAACGCGAAGAACCUUACCAGGUCUUGACAUCCCGAUGCUAUUCUUAGAGAUAGGAAGUUACUUCGGUACAUCGGAGACAGGUGGUGCAUGGUUGUCGUCAGCUCGUGUCGUGAGAUGUUGGGUUAAGUCCCGCAACGAGCGCAACCCUUAUUGUUAGUUGCCAUCAUUAAGUUGGGCACUCUAGCGAGACUGCCGGUAAUAAACCGGAGGAAGGUGGGGAUGACGUCAAAUCAUCAUGCCCCUUAUGACCUGGGCUACACACGUGCUACAAUGGUCGGUACAACGAGUUGCGAGCCGGUGACGGCAAGCUAAUCUCUGAAAGCCGAUCUCAGUUCGGAUUGGAGGCUGCAACUCGCCUCCAUGAAGUCGGAAUCGCUAGUAAUCGCGGAUCAGCACGCCGCGGUGAAUACGUUCCCGGGCCUUGUACACACCGCCCGUCACACCACGAGAGUUUGUAACACCCGAA